UAACGCGUGAGGAACCUGCCUUGAAGAGGGGGACAACAGUUGGAAACGACUGCUAAUACCGCAUGAUGCAUAAGGGUCGCAUGAUCUUUAUGCCAAAGAUUUAUCGCUUCAAGAUGGCCUCGCGUCUGAUUAGCUAGUUGGCGGGGUAACGGCCCACCAAGGCGACGAUCAGUAGCCGGACUGAGAGGUUGAACGGCCACAUUGGGACUGAGAUACGGCCCAGACUCCUACGGGAGGCAGCAGUGGGGAAUAUUGGGCAAUGGGCGCAAGCCUGACCCAGCAACGCCGCGUGAAGGAAGAAGGCUUUCGGGUUGUAAACUUCUUUUANGAGGGAAGAGCAGAAGACGGUACCUCUAGAAUAAGCCACGGCUAACUACGUGCCAGCAGCCGCGGUAAUACGUAGGUGGCAAGCGUUGUCCGGAUUUACUGGGUGUAAAGGGCGUGCAGCCGGGUCUGCAAGUCAGAUGUGAAAUCCAUGGGCUCAACCCAUGAACUGCAUUUGAAACUGUAGAUCUUGAGUGUCGGAGGGGCAAUCGGAAUUCCUAGUGUAGCGGUGAAAUGCGUAGAUAUUAGGAGGAACACCAGUGGCGAAGGCGGAUUGCUGGACGAUAACUGACGGUGAGGCGCGAAAGUGUGGGGAGCAAACAGGAUUAGAUACCCUGGUAGUCCACACUGUAAACGAUGAAUACUAGGUGU
rnacentral:rRNA from 1 species